rnacentral:rRNA from 1 species
AGUGAACGCUGGCGGUAGGCCUAACACAUGCAAGUCGAACGGCAGCACAGUAAGAGCUUGCUCUUACGGGUGGCGAGUGGCGGACGGGUGAGGAAUACAUCGGAAUCUACUUUUUCGUGGGGGAUAACGUAGGGAAACUUACGCUAAUACCGCAUACGACCUACGGGUGAAAGCAGGGGAUCUUCGGACCUUGCGCGAUUGAAUGAGCCGAUGUCGGAUUAGCUAGUUGGCGGGGUAAAGGCCCACCAAGGCGACGAUCCGUAGCCGGUCUGAGAGGAUGAUCAGCCACACUGGAACUGAGACACGGUCCAGACUCCUACGGGAGGCAGCAGUGGGGAAUAUUGGACAAUGGGCGCGAGCCUGAUACAGCCAUACCGCGUGGGUGAAGAAGGCCUUCGGGUUGUAAAGCCCUUUUGUUGGGAGAGAAAAGCAGCAGGUUAAUACCCCGCUGCUCUGACGGUACCGGAAGAAUAAGCACCGGCUAACUUCGUG